rnacentral:rRNA from 1 species
UGCCAGCAGCCGCGGUAAUACAUAGGGGUCAAGCGUUGUUCGGAAUUACUGGGCGUAAAGGGCGCGUAGGCGGCCUCAUUAGUCAGACGUGAAAGCCCCGGGCUCAACCUGGGAUGUGCGUUUGAAACUGUGAGGCUAGAGACCGGAAGAGGAUGGCGGAAUAUCCAGUGUAGAGGUGAAAUUCGUAGAUAUUGGAUGGAACACCAGUGGCGAAGGCGGCCAUCUGGUCCGGGUCUGACGCUGAGGCGCGAAAGCGUGGGGAGCAAACAGGAUUAGAUA